AAUGAACGCUGGCGGCACGCUUAACACAUGCAAGUCGAACGAGAUCUUCGGAUCUAGUGGCAGACGGGUGAGUAACGCGUGGGAACCUGCCCUUUAGUAGAGAAUAACUCGGGGAAACUCGAGCUAAUACUUUAUACGCCCUUCGGGGGAAAGCUUUAUGCGCUAUUGGAUGGGCCCGCGUUAGAUUAGUUUGUUGGUGAGGUAAUGGCUCACCAAGGCUACGAUCUAUAGCUGGUCUGAGAGGAUGAUCAGCCACACUGGGACUGAGACACGGCCCAGACUCCUACGGGAGGCAGCAGUGGGGAAUAUUGGACAAUGGGGGCAACCCUGAUCCAGCGAUGCCGCGUGAGUGAUGAAGGCCCUAGGGUUGUAAAGCUCUUUUGUCAGGGAAGAUAAUGACGGUACCUGAAGAAUAAGAUCCGGCUAACUCCG
rnacentral:rRNA from 1 species